GAGAGUUAAAUAGUACGUGAAAUUGUUGAAAGGGAAACGAUUGAAGUCAGUCAUGCUAGUGAAAAAUCAGUUUGACGGGUUUUGAGUUCAGGAGUAGAGGCAGGGUCAAACCGUUUCUCUUUUGUACUUGGGAUUUGUUAGAUGUACUUUUUCUUUGGCAGGUCAGCGUCGAUUUCGGAGGUUGUAAAAUACUUGGGGGAAAGUAACUCUGCUUCGGGAGAGUAUUAUAGACCCUGGGGGAUGCAGCCUGCGGGAUCGAGGAUUGCAGCAAAUGCCUUUGGCUUGUCGCCUGAUCUCUGGAUGUUACCUCGCUUUUGACAACAUUCUUGCCACUUGUGGGUACUAAUGCCCAUUAGGUUAGAGCGAUCAAAAAUUUUGCUAAGGAUGCUGACGUAAUGGCUUUAAACGA
rnacentral:rRNA from 1 species